GAUGAACGCUGGCGGCGUGCCUAAUACAUGCAAGUCGAGCGAACGGACGAGAAGCUUGCUUUUCUGAUGUUAGCGGCGGACGGGUGAGUAACACGUGGAUAACCUACCUAUAAGACUGGGAUAACUUCGGGAAACCGGAGCUAAUACCGGAUAAUAUUUUGAACCGCAUGGUUCAAAAGUGAAAGACGGUCUUGCUGUCACUUAUAGAUGUAUCCGCGCUGCAUUAGCUAGUUGGUAAGGUAACGGCUUACCAAGGCAACGAUGCAUAGCCGACCUGAGAGAGUGAUCGGCCACACUGGAACUGAGACACGGGCCAGACUCCUACGGGAGGCAGAAGUAGGGAAUCUUCCGCAAUGGGAGAAAGCCUGACGGAGCAACGCCGAGUGAGUGAUGAAGGUCUUCGGAUCGUAAAACUCUGUUAUUAGGGAAGAACAUAUGUGUAAGUAACUGUGCACAUCUUGACGGUACCUAAUCAGAAAGCAACGGCUAACUACGUG
rnacentral:rRNA from 1 species